rnacentral:rRNA from 1 species
CCUACGGGAGGCAGCAGUGAGGAAUAUUGGUCAAUGGGCGCGAGUCUGAACCAGCCAAGUCGCGUGAGGGAGGACGGCCCUACGGGUUGUAAACCUCUUUUGCCGGGGAGCAACGGGCGACACGUGUGGCGCCACUGAGAGUACCCGGAGAAAAAGCAUCGGCUAACUCCGUGCCAGCAGCCGCGGUAAUACGGAGGAUGCGAGCGUUAACCGGAUUUAUUGGGUUUAAGGGGUGCGGAGGCGGAGUGUUAAGUCAGUGGUCAAAUUUGGGGGGUUCACCCCCUACCGGCCGUUAAAACUGGCGCUCUUGAGUGGAAGAGAAGUAUGCGGAAUGCGUGGUGUAGCGGUGAAAUGCUUAGAUAUCACACAGAACCCCGAUUGCGAAGGCAGCAUGCCGGCUUCCGACUGACGCUGAAGCACGAAAGCGUGGGGAUCAAACAGGAUUAGAUACCCGAGUAGUC